rnacentral:rRNA from 1 species
CACUUUCAACAACGGAUCUCUUGGCUCUCGCAUCGAUGAAGAACGCAGCGAAAUGCGAUAAGUAAUGUGAAUUGCAGAAUUCAGUGAAUCAUCGAAUCUUUGAACGCACCUUGCGCCUCUUGGUAUUCCGAGAGGCAGCCUGUUCGAGUGUCA